UCCUGGUGGCUCAGAUGGUAAAGCGUCUGCUUACAAUGCAGGAGACCCAGGUUCAAUCCCUAGGUCGGGAA
rnacentral:tRNA from 1 species